GUACAUAAGUUUCAUUCUGUACAAAGCUAACGAACCUCUGUGUCAUGCUUUUAAAUAGAACUGAGGCAUACUGUUGUGGUCUGAGUCGAUGUUAAAAGAUACGUGGAUAAUGGAAACAGGUGAUGGAAUGCAUAUUAACAAAUAUGCAGGAUGUCUGCUGCUUCAUAAAUGCGUGCGUUAGAAAAUUUCUUCAUAGGGUUCUCAUAGUGAUUGUUCACGCAUUUUCGAAGAACUAUGCGCUCGAAUACUUCCAGUUCAUUGGCAACAGUUGGGGAAAUGGAGAACCAAAUAAGGAAUCCGUACAUUAAAAUGGAUCUGACGGCUACUUUGUAAAGCAACAAUAAUGUAUUUUGAGUUUUGUGCGUGUGUGUUAAAUUUAAACAAUUGGUUGAAAUUUAUCCCCAUGUAUUUGAUGGACGGUUUUAUUGGGAUGUUGAUCCCAUCAAGAGAAAGCCGCAGGUAUUUGCUUUCAGAAACUGUUGAUUACUCUAGAUGUGCGCAUGCCGUAUUUAAUGCCUGAGUAGUAGAUGAAUGGUGAGAAUAGAUCAUACAGUCGUCAGCGUAGAGAAUAGCCUGGGAAUACCCAAUAGUCAUAGAGAAGCAAAUUGAAUAAAAAUGGUGCUAGCACGCACCAAUAUGAACCACGCCUGAUGAUGAGUAGAUGUCUUGGAUUUGACCUACAAA
rnacentral:sRNA from 1 species